AUAGUCUCUUCGGAGUAAAGAUUUUUCGCUUCAAGAGGAGCCUGCAUCCUAUCAGCUUGUUGGUGAGGUAAAAGCUCACCAAGGCUAUGACGGGUAGGGGGCGUGAGAGCGUGACCCCCAACAUUGGCACUGAGACACUGGCCAAACACCUACGGGUGGCUGCAGUCCAGAACCUUCCACAAUGGGCGAAAGCCUGAUGGAGCGACGCCGCGUGCGGGAUGACAGCCUUAGGGUUGUAAACCGCUUUUAUAAGUGAAGAACUUUAAUGACAUUAACUUAUGAAUAAGAGGUUGCUAACUACGUGCCAGCAGCAGCGGUAAUACGUAGACCUCAAGCGUUAUCCGGAUUUAUUGGGCGUAAAGGGUGUGUAGGCGGUUUAAAUAGUCAAAUGUUAAAUCACGAGGCUCAACUUCGUGACUGCAUUUGAAACGUUUAAACUAGAAAUAGGCAGAGGUUAGCGGAACUCAUGGUGUAGCAGUGAAAUGCAUUGAUAUCAUGGGGAACACCAAAGGCGAAGGCAGCUAACUGGGCCUUAUUUUGACGCUGAGACACGAAAGCGUGGGUGGCGAACGGGAUUAGAUACCCCGGUAGUCCACGCCCUAAACGAUGUGCACUAAUCAUUGGGAGUUUCGACCCUCUCAGUGUUGUAGCUAACGCGUUAAGUGCACCGCCUGGGAAGUACGAGCGCAAGCUUAAAACUCAAAGGAAUAGACGGGGAUCCGCACAAGCGGUGGAGCAUGUGGUUUAAUUCGACAAUAAGCGAGGAACCUCACCAGGGCUAGAUAUCCUGCUGCAUGUCCUGAGAAACCAGGACAGCCUUCGAGGGUGCAGGACAGGUGUUGCAUGGUCGUCGUCAGCUCGUGCUGUAAAGUGUUCCAUUAAGUUGGGUAACGAGCGCAACCCCUACUGUGUGUUACAAGUGUCACACGGAACUGCCC
rnacentral:rRNA from 1 species